UAAGGUUUAGCUUUAUUUUAGGCUACUUAACUUAUUUUGUUUUUGUAAGUAAACUAAAGUGAACAUUUAAAGUGGCUAUUUGAAGAUCUGCAUUUGAUUUGGCUAUGUAUUUGAAGAUCUCCUUACAGUAUCAGAAAAUCCAUCAACGAGCUGUGUGUUAAGUUGCUACACAAAGGGUAUUCAAAGAUGAUUUCUCCGAGGCAACUACCAAGAAACAUGUACCAAUGUGGCUGAACCAAGCUAAAACCAGAUUCAAAGGACAGGAAGGAGAAAUCAGCUGUAAAACAAGGAAGCCACUAAGCCACACUGAAGCUGUCUAACAAGAAGAUGACAUGUUUGAGGACUCUAAAGUGUGUUUUCUGCUC